GACGAACGCUGGCGGCGUGCUUAACACAUGCAAGUGGUGCGACAAACCAGGCUUCGGCCUGGGGCGAAGCCGCGAACGGGUGAGUAACACGUGGGCAAUCUGCCACUUUGAUCGGGACAACCCGGGGAAACCCGGGCUAAUACCGAAUGAGGUGGCGACUCAUGAGAGUCGUCACGAAAGGAAGCUUCGGCCUCCGCGAAGGGAUGAGCCCGCGGCCCAUUAGCUUGUUGGUGGGGUAAUGGCCUACCAAGGCAACGAUGGAUAGCUGGUCUGAGAGGACGAUCAGCCACACUGGGACUGAGACACGGCCCAGACUCCUACGGGAGGCUGCAGUGGGGAAUCUUGCGCAAUGAGCGACAGCUUGACGCAGCAACGCCGCGUGAGGGAAGAAGGCUUUCGGGUCGUAAACCUCUUUCAGUUAGGACGAAGCUUUAUUGGUUAAUAACCAAUUGGAGUGACGGUACUUUCAGAAGGAGCCCCGGCUAACUACGUGCCAGCCGCCGCUGUAA
rnacentral:rRNA from 1 species